rnacentral:rRNA from 1 species
UGAGUAAUGUCUGGGAAACUGCCUGAUGGAGGGGGAUAACUACUGGAAACGGUAGCUAAUACCGCAUAACGUCGCAAGACCAAAGAGGGGGACCUUCGGGCCUCUUGCCAUCGGAUGUGCCCAGAUGGGAUUAGCUAGUAGGUGGGGUAACGGCUCACCUAGGCGACGAUCCCUAGCUGGUCUGAGAGGAUGACCAGCCACACUGGAACUGAGACACGGUCCAGACUCCUACGGGAGGCAGCAGUGGGGAAUAUUGCACAAUGGGCGCAAGCCUGAUGCAGCCAUGCCGCGUGUAUGAAGAAGGCCUUCGGGUUGUAAAGUACUUUCAGCGGGGAGGAAGGCGAUAAGGUUAAUAACCUUGUCGAUUGACGUUACCCGCAGAAGAAGCACCGGCUAACUCCGUGCCAGCAGCCGCGGUAAUACGGAGGGUGCAAGCGUUAAUCGGAAUUACUGGGCGUAAAGCGCACGCAGGCGGUCUGUCAAGUCGGAUGUGAAAUCCCCGGGCUCAACCUGGGAACUGCAUUCGAAACUGGCAGGCUAGAGUCUUGUAGAGGGGGGUAGAAUU